rnacentral:misc_RNA from 1 species
GAUGAAGAACGCAGCGAAAUGCGAUAAGUAAUGCGAAUUGCAGAAUUUCCGUGAGUCAUCGAAUCUUUGAACGCACAUUGCGCCCACUGGUAUUCCGGUGGGCAUGCCUGUUCGAGCGUCAUUAUAACCCCUCAAGCUCAGCUUGGUGUUGGGGCCUGCUGCACUGGCAGCCCUUAAAAUCAGUGGCGGCGCCAUCUGGCUCUAAGCGUAGUAAUUCUUCUCGCUAUGGAGUCCUGGUGGAUGCUUGCCAUCAACCCCCAAUUUUUCUAUGGUUGACCUCGGAUCAGGUAGGGAUACCCGCUGAACUUAAGCAUAUCAAUAAGCGGAGGA